AAUAAUGAUGUAUUUGGCAAAUCAAAUACCAUGGUCUAAUAAUCAACCAUUCUGAUUAAUUGAUAAUAUUAGUAUUAGUUGGAAAUUUUCUGAAAGAUUCCUGUGAAAAGUUUCAUUAACGCGUAAUUCGUGUCGAGUAGACCUUGUUGUUGUGAGAAUUCUUAAUUCAUGAGUUGUAGGGAGGGAUUUAUGUCACCACAAACAGAGACUAAAGCAAGUGUUGGAUCCAAAGCUGGUGUUAAAGAGUACAAAUUGACUUAUUAUACUCCUGAGUACCAAACCAAGGAUACUGAUAUAUUGGCAGCAUUCCGAGUAACUCCUCAACCUGGAGUUCCACCUGAAGAAGCAGGGGCCGCGGUAGCUGCCGAAUCUUCUACUGGUACAUGGACAACUGUAUGGACCGAGGAGUCAAGUCUGUCUGCCCGGUGGUCGGAUGUGAAGGAGUGAGUAAUGAGCCAUUUUUCGUUUGGAGUGGGUGCCGUGGUAAUGAACGGAUUCGAAGACUCUGUAUAGCUCUGCAUUCCUUUUUCUUUAUUGUCUGGUAGUUAAGGAGUGAAUGCAAAUCAGAUAAGAAAGAGACUAAACUCCGAUGUCGGAAUCUCGUCUGCGUAGUUCGAAUCUCUUUCUUCCCGAAAAUCCCAUGAUGUGCAUGUACAUACAGCUUCUAAUAAUGUUGCUACUACAAAUUUUGCAGCUUCUACUAGUGAAAAAAAAGACUUAGCUCUAGGGCACAAUAGACGAGGCCAUGCUUUUCUUACUACUCUAAGGAAGCUAAGUUGUUUUAAAUGUAUUUCUAUUAAGGUUGAGGCUACUGUUGUAGACAUGUGCACUGCAUGCCCUUUGGCUAAACAAUCAAGGAUUUUUCCUUUAAGUACCACCUCUACAUAUGCUUGUUUUCACUUAUUACAUGCUGAUGUCUGGGGUUCCUACAGGGUACCUAUACAUGACGGUAAAAGGUUUUUUAACCUUGGUUGAUGACUAUUCCAAAUACAUUUGGAUAGUUCUGCUUAAAUCUAAAUCAGAAGUCAUAGUUGUUCUUAAAAACUUCCUUAUCAUGAUAAAAAAUAUGUUUGGUACUUUUAUUAAAUGCCUAAGAUCUGACAAUGGUUGUGAGUUCUUCAACUCUCAAAUAACUGACCUACUCGUAUCACUUGGAAUUCUACAUCUAAUCUCUUGUGUCUAUACACCUCAAUAAAAUAGUUUUGUAGAGAGAAAGCAUAGACAUAUUCUAGACACAACCAGGUCUAUCAGAUUCCAGUCUCAUGUACCUCUGAAGUUUUGGGAGAAUGUGUCCUUACUAGUAUGUAUCUCAUUAACAGAUUGCCCUCUACUGUCCUUAAGGGUAAGACUCCUUUUGAAUAUAUGUAUCAUUCUGGUCCUUCUCUUGAGCAUCUUAGAGUAUUUGGCUACUUAGCUUAUGCUACUGAAGUAAGGAGGGUGGAUAAGUUUGCCUCAAGGGCUAUUCCUGCAGUAUUUCUUAGUUACUCACAUCUCUCAAAGGGGUACAAACUCAUGGUUUUACAUACCAAGGAAUUCUUAGGCAGUAGAGAUGUAGUCUUUAAUGAAAAUGUAUUUCCUUUCCAACACAUGAGCUCUUUCUCUCAUAUAUUUUAUCCUCCUUUGUUCCAUGAUUCUACUGAUGCUAAGUUUGUGCCUUUGGUGAUUCCUGCAUCCUCUAGUUCUACCACUGCUGAUCUUCUGGUUCUAGGUUUUGCUCUCAACUCAGUUCAAGAUAUUGCCCAGCCUGAACCUGCUAUUACUGAAUCAGUUGAGUUACUUCCCUUAUCUCAAACUAGAAGAACUUCUACUAGACAGACUAGACCACUAAUUUGUCUUAAAGACUAUCAAACUAAAGUGUCUAAAGCUAACUUUGCAUGUCUAUACCCUAUUUCUUACCAUGUGCGCUAUGCUGCACUCUCUUCUUCUUACUGUGCUACUUUAUUAACUUACUCUUCAGUACAUGAACCUACUUUAUUUUUUGAAGCUUCUAUGGAUCCCGAGUAGAUUGAAGCAAUGAAGUCUGAAAUGGUUGCAUUUGAGGAUAAUAAUACAUGGACCAUAGUUUAUUUUCCCCCGGUAAAAUUCUCAUUGGUUAUAAAUGGGUGUUUAAAGUUAAGUAUGUAGCAUCUGGUGUUGUUGAAAGAUACAAGGUCAGGAUAGUUGCAAAGUGCUUUAAUCAGAUAGAAAGGUUGGACUACUCAGACACAUUCUCUCCGGUGGCUAACACGGUCACGUCAGAUCAUUGUUGUUGUUGCUGCAGUUAAGCACUAGCCUGUGUUUCAGAUGGAUGUUCACAAUGUUUUUCUGCAUGGUGAUCUUAUUAAAGAUGUAUCUAUGGCUCUUCCCCCUGGCAUUUACAGACAAGGAGAGGUUGAUAAGGUCUAUAAGUUGCAAAAAUCUCUUUAUGGGCUUAAGUAAGCUCCAAGGCAAUGGAACUUGAAACUAACAGAGGCUCUUAUUCAACUUGAGUUUGUACAAAGUCAUUAUGACAACUCUCUGUAUACAAAGACAGCAGGGAAGGAUCUAGUCAUAGUACUAGUCUAUGUUGAUGAUCUGUUAGUAAUUGGUAGAUAUAGCAGAUUGAUUGAUCAAACUAGAAGUGAUCACAUGUUUAAGUUCAAGAUGAAAGACUUGGGUCCUUUAAAGUUCUUUCUUGGCAUUGAAUUUUCUAGGUCCAAGAAGGGGAUUGUCAUAAGCCAAAUAUAAAAUAUGCUUUAGUCCUUAUUUUUUAGCUAGGACUUAGUAGAGCCAAGCAAGUGUAUGCACCACUUGAUCCAAGUCUGAGAUUGACCUUAAUUGAAUAUGACUCACAUGUAAACAACUCAGGAGAAGAUCCAGUAGAUAAACCUCUAAAAGAUAUUAGGAAAUAUCAAAGGCUAGUUGGGAGGUUGUUGUAUUUAACAAUGACAAGAGUGGACAUUUCCUUUGUUGUACAAGUGUUGAGCGAGUUCUUGCAUGCACCUAAGGAAUCCCACAUGGAAGCUGCUAUCAGAGUGGUGAAAUAUGUUAAGGCUUCACCAGGCUUAGGCUUGUUCAUGCCAUCGCAAGGCUCAGGUACAUUGACAGCAUUUUGUGACUCAGACUGGGGAACUCGUCUACAAACUAGAAGGUCUGUGACUGGGUAUUUAGUUAAAUUUAGAGCUGCUUUGGUGUCUUGGAAAUCAAAGAAGCAAAAGAUAGUAGCUAAAAACUCAGCUGAAGCAGAGUUCAGAAGUAUGGCCUCAACAGUGGCUGAAAUCACCUGGCUUAUAGGCCUGUACAAAGAGUUGGGUAUUAAGGUUCAACAACCAAUAAACUUAUUGUGUGACAGCAAAGCUGCAUUGCAAAUUGCAGCCAACUCAAUUUUUCACAAGAGGACAAAACACUUUGACACUAAUUGUCACUUUGUCAGAGAGAAAUUGGUGCAGAAAAUAAUUUAGACUCGUCAUGUAUCAACCAAGGAACAGCUAGCUAAUUUGCUUACAAAGAGUCUAGGCAACACACAACAUACUCAUCUUUUAUCCAAGCUGGGAGUGAAGGAUCUAUUUCACUCAUCAGCUUGAGGAAAGAUGUUCAGUAUUCUUAGUGAAUGAGUUAGUCACAGAGUUAGUUACACUGUAGAUGUGAGUUAGUUACAAUGUACAACACAAUACUUGUGUGUACUAGUUGGUUAGUUAGUUAGAAAAGUUAACUUAAUGAGAUGAGUUAGUUAGUUGAUAUUAGAAGUUCCUCUAUAAAUAGAGGUGUGUAGAUAGUGUGUGGAACUAAUAUUUCAUUGAUUUAAUAAAAGGUUCACUUUCAGUUCUCUCUCCCUCUCUAUGAGUUGAAACUCAGCUCCAUGGAUCACCAUUGUUGAUUCUCAACUGUUCGAGCUAUUAGAAAUGUUGUUUCAAGAAAUAUUUGCCCUUAAUAUAAGCAUAAUCUAAGGUUUAGAGUAAAAUAUCCUCCAAGAACUCUAAUAGAAUUUGAAUUCAUCUUGUAGAGUUCAAAAAAAUUUAAAUGUCUACACUAGCAUAAAGACAAAAUAUACAAGGUGAUUUUUUUCAUCUGUCUUGAUGAAUAAAGUUACUCUGAUAUCUGACGGUGGUGAUGAAAGGUGGUAUGUAAGUAUAUAUAUGUGUGUGCCUCACGCUUAAUUCAAUAUCAACAAUAAACCCAGUAUAUUUUCACAUAGUGGGGUUCGGAGAUGUCUCACGCUUAAUUAAUGAUCCUUUCUGCGGACAGCCUAUCAAAUCAGAUCACGUAUUUUGGAAUAUGUCGUUACAUCAUGUACAUGUAUUCGCUUUUUCAUUUUUUUGGAUGUUCCUGCUCGUGCGCCGAUGCCUGCUGCUUCAUCUGGGAGAAAAGAAUCAUAGAUAUGCCGGUCAUUAGAAGGAAGAACCGCCAUAAAAAGAGGGUGUCACCCUCUAGCUGUAAUCUAUCUCUUUCUCUAUGAUAUAUCCAUAUUAAAUCACAACAUUAACAACAACAUAUCUUUUUUGUUAUUCUACAUGUUUGAGAGUAAACCGUAUGCAAAUGUUACUUUUACUUCAAACGAUAGAAAAGUUAUUUUAAUAAAUUCUCGACUCAAUAAUUUCAAAUAAGUUCCAAAAAAAUAAAGAAAUAGAAAACAACGAAGCCAUGACAAAAAAAAAAAAAGAAAGAAAACAUGACAAAGUAGUUGAAAAGAAAUGACACUAAUUAACUACAAUAAAAUGAUCGGAUAAUCAAAAUAUAAAAGACAACAAAUAGUAGGUAUAAUGAAUUCAUAAUAUUAAAAAUAUAAUAAAUUCUAAAAAAUUUUAACGUUGAACUCAUAAAUUUAAAUUCUUAAUUUAUAUAUAUAUAUAUAUAUAUUAAAUAGAGAAUAUAGAUAUUUUUAUUUGAACUAGCAGAUGUAUAACUUUUCCUUUUUUAAUCAUAGCAUCUUUUUCUGUUAACAAUCAGGUAAUCUCAUCAUGUUGCGUUGGCCAGGAGAAUCUAAGGAAAACAUUUUAUUUUGUAUAAUAAUAAAAAUAAAGUGAUUUAAAGGGAACAAUUCGUACAUAUUAUGAUGUGUACAUGUGCACUUUUUCCUUUUAAAAAAAAAUAAUAAAUAAAAAUUAUUUGUUUAUACAAAUAAUUUGUAUUGUAACCACUAGAGUUGGUAUGGUGGUUUAGCGCCAUGUCCCUUAAUCAAGAGGUCGCGGGUUCGAUUCCCGCCUCUGGCGAAUGGAGCAAAUCCUGUUGCCAGUUCUCUACUACUUAGUGUGAGGUUCCUCGGAAAUGAUUUCUUAUGAUUACUUAGAAAAUUAUUUGGUAGCUGAUUAAAGUUGUACAGGACUUCAUUAUGAACGAAUGUAUUUAUGAUUUUAUGCAAGGUGUUAACUAUGCGAUUUAAUUUUAUGUAACUAGCAAUUAUUCAUGCAUUUGUUAUUUUAUAAUAUAAUAUGUAAAUUUCCUCAUAAUCUAUACUUGUAUUAAUUCUAUAUGUUUCUCAACAUCUUAACUUAUUUUGGAUUUAAAUACUGUCUUAAAUUUUAUAUAUAGAAAUAAUUACCUUCUAAUCAGCUACAAAACUUAGUAUUACUAUACAAGAUUUUAGAAUUUUUAAAACAUGGAUAAACCAUUAAAAGAAAGAAAGAAAAAAUAUAUUUAGUGAGAAUUGAUCCCUAAAUUCUUAAGGUAAAUAACUUAAAGUUUAGCCAAGUGUAUUAUUUAGUCUUCUCAUAACAUAGGUGUCAACAAGUAAUAUUACUAAUUUUAGAAUAUAUACACAUAAAAUACUUAGUUUUACUAAAAAAUAAGGUUCACAUGCCCUCUUUUUUAAUAUAAUUUCGCUUCUCGAUAUUACUUACUCUGAAUAUAACACCUACAUAAUUCUCCUCUCGAUAUUACUUACUCUGAAUAUAACACCUACAUAAUUCUCCUCUAAAAAAGCCAUCAAAAGCUUUUACAAUUUGAAUGACAAAAAAUAAUUAUUUUCGGACCAUAAGAUUUAAUAACAUUUUAGUCAUGGAAUAAUAUGAUUAAUUAAGAGAAUAAUAUCAAUUAUUUUUUAAAUUUUUUUUUUUUUUUUAAAGUAUCAUAAGCAUUACGAUCAUUCUAUUUUGUCAAACUCUGAUAGGAGAUUCUUUUAUUUAACUUGGAAAAGGACAAUUCCAGAAUAUAUAUAUUAGUUGCUUGGAUGAAUGUGCCUAAUCAUAGAAGACAACCUAGUACCAUUUGGAUAUUUUUCUAAUCUUCAAUCUUUCACUACCACAAAGAGUUGGAUAUACAAAAUUUCUUUUUAAAAAAAAAAUAUAUAUUUUUGGUGUUUGAAUUAAUUUAUGCAUACCUCGAUAAAGUAUUUUAUAAAAUAUUUGUCCAGAGGCGAACCUUUGUGUAUUUUUAUAGUGCAUGACACCCAUUAAAUUUGGUAUAACUAUAUACGUAAUAUAUAAAAAUUGGUAUAGGAAUAAAAAAAAACAUUAAGAAAAUCAAGAAGCUAGUUGAGUGUUUUAGUUUUCAAACGAAACCUUAAAACAUUAGGUGUCAAUAUCUGUUAGAACCUCCCUGAGGCACCCAUGCAACCACUAAAUUCUAAGUGUGCCACAAUAUUUGUCACCUAAUGUCUAUCAAAAUUAGAAUAUAAAGAAAAUAAAUCACACAGUUUUUGUACUUGUUGAAAAUUGAACCUGAGAUCUCAUGGUGCUCAAUCAAUUUCAUUAAACCGACAAGGCACAUCUGUAGGAGCAAAGCAAAAGUUUUCUAAGUUUGAAACUUGAUAAUGGAAAAAUUCAUGAUUUAUAGGGUGUUUGAAUUGACUUAUUUUUAAGUGUUUUGGGUUUUUAAAUACUUUUUGAUUUUUGAAAUUGUUUGACAGAUACACAACUUUAGACUUAAAAGGUUCAUAAAAAAAAUCAAAAAUAAAAAGUAGAUUGUUACAUACUUUUAACUCUUAAUUUUUUUACUUAUAAAUCACAUAAAAAUAACCCUUAAAAGUGUUCUAAUGAAUUUUAUGCUGCAGAAAUAUGUUUAGUAGAUUAUAAACUUUGGUAAUGGACAAUUGAAUAUUAAGUGUUUUUAUCUUAAUUAAUCUUAAAAAGAUAAAUGUAUGGCUAUCUCCCUUUCUUAUUUUUACCCCAAUCUUUUUAUUUUUACUUUCUUUCUUUCCCUUGCCUUAAUUUGUUUUUGGGCUCCAUCAAAUAUUCAAGUGGAGCACCAACAAAUUGAUUAAAGCGACUUUCCACUUACACUUAUCUGGAUAUGAUCACGAUAUUCUGUCAGUUGUGAUUUAACUCAAUAAUCAUAUCGUAUCAGAAAAUAUUAUUAUUCUCUUAUUAAAGCAACGAUCAUAUCAUAUUAGAAAAUACUAUUACAUUUUUAUUUAAAUUUUUUUUAUUAUUUAUUAAUUAUAAUAUAUAUGACUCAGCAACACGAUAAAAUAGUGAUGUUCUUUUUAUAAACUAGGGGCGUGAACCAACACACCUAUGAACCAAUAACAUAAAUGUUGUAAUAUUCCUUGUUAAUUAUGAUAUUCUGUCAGUUGUGAUUUAACCCAGUAAUCAUAUUGUAUCAAAAAAUAUAAAUAUGCUCUUAUUAAAGCAACAAUUAUAUCGUAUUAGAAAAUGCUAUUACACUUUUAUUUAAAAAAAAUUGUUAUUUAUUAAUUAUGAUAUUACUCAGCAACACGAUAAAAUAUUGAUGUUCUUUUUAUAAACACGGAGCGUGAACCAACACCUAUGAACCAAUAACAUAGAUAUUGUAAUACUCUUUGCCAAUUACGAUAUUUCGUCAGUUGUGAUUUAACUCAGUAAUCAUAUCAUAUCAGAAAAUAGUAUUAUGCUCUUAUUAAAGCAACAAUCAUAUUGUAUUAGAAAAUACUAUUUCAUUCUUUUUUAAAAUUUUUUGUUAAUUAUUGAUUAUGGUAUGACUUAGCAACACCAUAAAAUAAUGAUGUUCUUUUUAUAAACUAGGGGCAUGAACCAACACCUAUGAACCAAUAACAUAGAUGUUGUAAUAUUCUUUGUUAAUUACGAUAUUUCGUCAGUUGUGAUUUAACUCAGUAAUCAUAUCAUAUCAGAAAAUAUUAUUAUGCUCUUAUUAAAGCAACAAUCAUAUCGUAUUAGAAAAUACUAUUUCAUUCUUAUUUAAGAACUUUUGUUAAUUAUUGAUUAUGGUAUGACUUAGCAACACCAUAAAAUAUUGAUGUUCUUUUUAUAAACUAGGUGCGUGAACCAACACCUAUGAACCAAUAACAUGGAUGUUGUAAUAUUUUUUGUUCUUGAAUAUUUCUAGUAGUACUUUUUAUACAUUUGUAUGAUACAACCUUGGGAAAGUAGAUUAAGCAUCUUCAUUAGCAUACAGUAAUCCCCUAAGCAUCUUAGUUUUUUAAUUAAUAAGUUAUGCCUUUUCCUUAGUUGGAGGCUAAUCCAAUUUCAAAGCUCAUAUAUUUGGUGAAGUGGCUAUCCACUAGUCAUGUCUCUUAUUUAGUUUUAUCAUUUUAUUUUAAAAAAUAAAUAAAUUAUGCUCUUGUUUAAUUUAGAGAUAGUUACGUGUCUAAAUACUUUGAUCGACUAGUUUACAAAAUAUAUACUAUGUGUGUAGGUUAUAUAUAAUGUAUACUAGAUAUACAUAUACUAUAUAUAUAAUAGGUAAAAGAGUCAAAUUUAUUUCUUUACUUUGAAAAAUUAUCUAAAUAUAUCCUUCGUCAUAUUUUGGGGUUCAAAUUUUAUCCUUGUUGUCAUGCAUUGAGGCCAAAUUAACCCCUCUAUUUUAGAAAAUUGAGCAAAAUAUACCCUUCGUCAUACUUUACUCUUAAUAUCAUACUUUGGGGUCAAAUUUACCCUUGUUGUUAAGAAACUUUUGACAUGUACCCUUUCUUUACUAGAAAAGUCC
rnacentral:lncRNA from 1 species